GCCGGUGUGAUGGAAUGGUAGACGUAGCGGAUUCAAAAUCCGCCGGUGGCAACACCGUGUGGGUUCGAGUCCCACCACCGGCACCA
rnacentral:tRNA from 3 species